rnacentral:rRNA from 1 species
CGAUGUCGACUCAUCACAUCCUGGGGCUGAAGUAGGUCCCAAGGGUUGGGCUGUUCGCCCAUUAAAGUGGUACGUGAGUUGGGUUUAGAACGUCGUGAGACAGUUCGGUCUCUAUCUACUACGGGCGCAGGAUAUUUGAGGGUGAUUCGUCCCUAGUACGAGAGGACCGGGAUGAACGAACCUCUAGUGUACCAGUUAUUUCGCCAGAAGUAGUGCUGGGUAGCUAUGUUCGGAAUGGAUAACCGCUGAAAGCAUCUAAGUGGGAAACCAACCCCAAGAUAAGAUAUCCCUGGAGCGCAAGCUCCCUAAAGACCCCUUGUAGACUACAAGGUUGAUAGGCUCGGUGUGUAAGAGCAGUAAUGUUCUGAGCUAACGAGUACUAAUUGGUCGUGCGUCUUUAUCAUAAAU